CUUUAGAGAAGGGACACCAGAGCCCUUCACAUCUGGUAGUGGAAAACAGCACAGGUUCAUCUGGGAGGAGGUAUCUGAAACGCUGCCUGCUCCUUUCCAUAGGCGAGGCUUGCAAAGCAAGUAGCAUACAGUACCAUUGUGAGCAUCUGCAUAAGGAAGUGUAUCUGACAGGUAUCAACAGAACAUCCCAAAUACCUUGUUCGACAUCGCAACAAGCCGAACUCCAAAGAGUUUGGACAGCAGAAAUAAUGACACAGGUUUAAGAAGAGUAAAAUGCAAGGCAGAAAAGCUGGACACACCAACCAAGUUGGCAGGAACACAGGAAUGUUUUUUAGCUGCCAUAAAGACCUGAAACAAGAGCUUCCCAAAUCUCUGCAGCCUCUGAUGAAGAGUCCCUUGCAGACCCCCUUCAGAUACUGGAAGCUGCUCUGAGGUAUCAACACAGCUUCUCUUCCCCAGGCUGAACAGAAAGAAGCCUCUUUAAGUGGAGAGCUGAAG